rnacentral:rRNA from 1 species
GACGAACGCUGGCGGCGUGCUUAACACAUGCAAGUCGAACGGAAAGGCCCUGCUUGCAGGGUACUCGAGUGGCGAACGGGUGAGUAACACGUGGGUGAUCUGCCCUUCACUUCGGGAUAAGCCUGGGAAACUGGGUCUAAUACCGGAUAGGAGCCAUUUUUAGUGUGAUGGUUGGAAAGUUUUUUCGGUGUAGGGUGAGCUCGCGGCCUAUCAGCUUGUUGGUGGGGUAAUGGCCUACCAAGGCGGCGACGGGUAGCCGGCCUGAGAGGGUGGACGGCCACAUUGGGACUGAGAUACGGCCCAGACUCCUACGGGAGGCAGCAGUGGGGAAUAUUGCACAAUGGGCGCAAGCCUGAUGCAGCGACGCCGCGUGGGGGAUGACGGCCUUCGGGUUGUAAACUCCUUUCGCUAGGGACGAAGCUUUUUGUGACGGUACCUAGAUAAGAAGCACCGGCUAACUACGUG